CGGGUAAUAAAUAAUUAGGGUAUAUUAUGCUUUGGGAGCAGGAGGUCGCAGGUUCGAAUCCUGCCACCCCGA
rnacentral:tRNA from 1 species